rnacentral:rRNA from 1 species
UACGUAGGGGGCAAGCGGUUGUCCGGAAUCAUUGGGACGUAAAGCGGCGUGAGUAGGCGGCCAGGUUAGGUCCGUUGUGAAAACUAGAGGCUCAACCUCUAGACGUCGAUGGAACCAUCUGGCUAGAGUCCGGAAGAGGAGAGUGGAAUUCCUGGUGUAGCGGUGAAAUGCGCAGAUAUCAGGAAGAACACCCGUGGCGAAGGCGGCUCCUCUGGGACGGUACUGACGCUGAGACGCGAAAGCGUGGGGAGCGAACAGG